rnacentral:tRNA from 1 species
UUAAUUGAAACCAAAGUAGAGGUAGUUUAUUGUUAAUAAAUUUAUUGAAAAUAAUUUCCAAUUAAG